UUGGGUGCUUUGGAGGGUGGGAGGUGGAGGGGUUUCCAUUUUGCUUAGGGGAUCAGCAUCACCCUUUCUUUCUCCUUUUCCUUUGGGCUGGUGCUCAGAUGGUGAGAGCACUGUGCUGAUGAGGUGGGCCCUGGGGUGGAACCCAUGGCCCCCUCUGACUCCCAGGAGACCUGGCCAGCUACAGCGGCCCCCGUGGACCAGCAGAGGGACAAGAGAGGAGCUGACAUGGAAGAGCCGAGGCCCACUGGGGGCUCCUGGAGAGUCCGUCCGCCUGUGGACAGCAGCUCAGGUGUUCAGCUGCUUCCGGAGAGGAAGCACCUCUUCCUAGACUGAGGCAUCAUUUUGAUAUUAUCUGAAGCUUUAAAGCCUCCUGGAGUGAGAGCUAGUUCAUAACCAUGCUGUUUGGAGGGAAGAAAACUACCUGGAAUUCUUGUUCUCCAAAGAUGUGGAAUUAUCAUCCCAGCAACAGCCGGGAUGUGUUUCACUGCUGUGUCCUGAGGACCCUCAGGUGGAGACAGGAGGGGAUCCCAUUGCCUGUGAGGAGGACACGGCUCCUGGGUGGAUCCUGCAGAUUGUGAAGUUCAAGUCACAGCUCCUGGGAAGGUCUCUGUGUGUAAAGAUCAUGGGGGCGAGACAGAAGCAGGGACCACACUCUGCUCUGCACCUCUGAGUGUCGAUCCAGCUGCCUUGUGACCAGGACACUUGGAAGAACCAUGGACCCUGCAAGAGGGCAGGUUCGGAGAGUGAGAUGAAGACAGGGUGUCACCAGUCUCCUGGGACCUCCACCUCCCGGGAUGGUCACCAUCUCCUGACCUCGUGAUCCGCCUGCCUCCGUCUCCCAAAGUGCUGGGAUUACAGGCCUGAGCCACCGCGCCCAGCCAGAACCACACCUCUGGGCCGGCUCUGCCCAAGGACACCACACCUUCUCCAUUCCUCAUGCCCUGUCCCCGUGGGGUGCAGGUGGGGCUGGGCCCACGAUGGCAUCGGGCCCACUCUCUCUAAUGCAGGAAGCGUUCCAGAUGCCGGGAGCCAUGGAGAUUGUCCUCAUCCCGAUCAUCUGGCUUGGAGAAUGAUGAUGAAGACAGUUUUCCCACAAGAUGGGCUCAAGGACAGCUUGCCUGAGGGCAGCCAUGAGGAUGAAGCCUCUUCAGGUAGAGAAGGACUCCAGAUGGCAAGAAAGUCUCCUGUGCUGCAUCCAGGAGAAGAGAUGGAGAACCUAGAGGAUGGAGAGGAAGGGGAAGAGGAAGACAGUGGAAACCAGCGCGUCAGAGAAGAGCUCUAGACAGGCUGCUGGUAGGCCCCAUACGGCUUCUCACUGUACCGUAUGCUAAACAUCCCUGCAG